AGGCUUAACACAUGCAAGUCGAGGGGUAACAGGAGUAGCUUGCUAUUUGCUGACGACCGGCGCACGGGUGCGUAACGCGUAUAGAAUCUACCUUGUACUAGGGGAUAGCCUUGGGAAACGAAGAUUAAUACCCUAUAGUAAGUAUUUAUGGCAUCAUUUAUACUUUAAAGGUUACGGUACAAGAUGACUAUGCGUCCUAUUAGUUUGUUGGUGAGGUAACGGCUCACCAAGACUUCGAUAGGUAGGGGCCCUGAGAGGGGGAUCCCCCACACUGGUACUGAGACACGGACCAGACUCCUACGGGAGGCAGCAGUGAGGAAUAUUGGACAAUGGAGGCAACUCUGAUCCAGCCAUGCCGCGUGCAGGAUGACGGCCCUAUGGGUUGUAAACUGCUUUUAUGUAGGAAGAAACACUCUCACGUGUGAGAGCUUGACGGUACUACAAGAAUAAGGACCGGCUAACUCCGUACCAGCAGCCGCGGUAAUACGGAGGGUCCAAGCGUUAUCCGGAAUCAUUGGGUUUAAAGGGUCCGUAGGCGGGCUAUUAAGUCAGAGGUGAAAGUUUGCAGCUCAACUGUAAAAUUGCCUUUGAAACUGGUAGUCUUGAAUUAUUAUGAAGUGGUUAGAAUAAGUAGUGUAGCGGUGAAAUGCAUAGAUAUUACUUAGAAUACCAAUUGCGAAGGCAGAUCACUAAUAAUAUAUUGACGCUGAGGGACGAAAGCGUGGGGAGCGAACAGG
rnacentral:rRNA from 1 species